GCCGGAGUGGCGGAACUGGCAGACGCGCACGACUCAAAAUCGUGUGGGGUGAUACCCGUGUGGGUUCGAUUCCCACCUCCGGCA
rnacentral:tRNA from 1 species